CCUACGGGUGACAGCAGUGGGGAAUAUUGGACAAUGGGGGGAACCCUGAUCCAGCGACGCCGCGUGAGUGAAGAAGUAUCUCGGUAUGUAAAGCUCUAACAGCAGGGAAGAAAGAAAUGACGGUACCUAACUAAGAAGCACCGGCUAACUACGUGCCAGCCGCCGCGUGAAUACGUAGGGGGCAAGCGUUAUCCGGAUUUACUGGGGGUAAAGGUAGCGUAUACGGCUGAGCAAGUCUGAAGUGAAAGUCUGGGGCCCAACCCCCGGACUGCUUUGGAAACGGUAUAGCGAGAGUGCAGGAGAGGUAAGUGGAAUUCCUAGUGUAGCGGUGAAAUGCGUAGAUAUUAGGAGGAACACCAGUGGCGAAGGCGGCUUACUGGACUGUAACUGACGUUGAGGCUCGAAAGCGUGGGGAGCAAACAGGAUUAGAUACCCUUGUAGUC
rnacentral:rRNA from 1 species